GCUGGGCGCGGUGGCACAUGCCUGUAAUCCCAAUUGUUUGGAAGGCUGAGGCAGGAGGAUCUCCAGUUCAAAACCAGGCUCAGCAACUUAGCAAGGCCUUAAGCAACUCAGUGAGACCCUGUCUCUA
rnacentral:sRNA from 1 species